rnacentral:rRNA from 1 species
UACGUAGGGUGCAAGCGUUGUCCGGAAUUAUUGGGCGUAAAGAGCUCGUAGGCGGUCUGUCGCGUCGGCUGUGAAAACUCGGGGCUCAACUCCGAGCUUGCAGUCGAUACGGGCAGGCUAGAGUUCGGCAGGGGAGACUGGAAUUCCUGGUGGUAGCGGUGAAAUGCGCAGAGUAUCAAGGAGGAACACCGGUGGCGAAGGCGGGUCUCUGGGCCGAUACUGACGUGAGGAGCGAAAGCGUGGGGAGCGAACAGG